CUCUGGAAUGACGCGUACUGACCUUCGUCGGCCGCCAUCCUUGCAGCUUCGGAGGCUGCAGCCAGAUGUUGAGGUGCGGCCUCGGGGCUGUGGACCGUAAGGCAGUGUUUAGAGAAGUGAUUCCAUGAUUUGUCUCCAGCGGGAAGACGGAGGUCAGUGGUCAGAUCAGUGUCUGGUUCCGAGCGUGUUUCGAGACCACGUUGAGCAUUUUUGUCAUCUGCAAAUCAUUUUGGUCAAGUGGCAAGGGUAUGGACUGUGGAGUAAGAAGAGCCUGCUUCUGCCUCUGGUUCUAAUCUACAGGAACAAGAUAUUUUUAGUACUAGAAGAAGAAGGUUCCAGGUUUUGGGAGAUCAUCAUUUCUGGCAGCAGCCUGACCUGA
rnacentral:lncRNA from 1 species